UACGAAGGGGGCUAGCGUUGCUCGGAAUCACUGGGCGUAAAGCGCACGUAGGCGGAUUGUUAAGUCAGGGGUGAAAUCCCGGGGCUCAACCCCGGAACUGCCUUUGAUACUGGUAGUCUCGAGUCCGGAAGAGGUGAGUGGAAUUCCGAGUGUAGAGGUGAAAUUCGUAGAUAUUCGGAGGAACACCAGUGGCGAAGGCGGCUCACUGGUCCGGUACUGACGCUGAGGUGCGAAGGCGUGGGGAGCAAACAGG
rnacentral:rRNA from 1 species